UACGUAGGCGGAAAAUUAAGUCAGUAGUGAAAUCCUGCAGCUUAACUGUAGAACUGUUAUUGAUACUGGUUUUCUUGAAUAUAGUUGAGGUAGGCGGAAUGUGUAAUGUAGCGGUGAAAUGCUUAGAUAUUACACAGAACACCGAUUGCGAAGGCAGUUUACUAAGCUAUGAUUGACGCUGAGGUACGAAAGCGUGGGGAGCGAACAGGAUUAGAUACCCUGGUAGUC
rnacentral:rRNA from 1 species